rnacentral:rRNA from 1 species
AUAUUCUGUAGCAAGGUUAACCGAAUAGGGGAGCCGGAGGGAAACCGAGUCUUAACCGGGCGUUAAGUUGCAGGGUAUAGACCCGAAACCCGGUGAUCUAGCCAUGGGCAGGUUGAAGGUUGGGUAACACUAACUGGAGGACCGAACCGACUAAUGUUGAAAAAUUAGCGGAUGACCUGUGGCUGGGGGUGAAAGGCCAAUCAAACCGGGAGAUAGCUGGUUCUCCCCGAAAGCUAUUUAGGUAGCGCCUCGUGAAUUCAUCUCCGGGGGUAGAGCACUGUUUCGGCUAGGGGGCCAUCCCGGCUUACCAACCCGAUGCAAACUGCGAAUACCGGAGAAUGUUAUCACGGGAGACACACGGCGGGUGCUAACGUCCGUCGUGAAGAGGGAAACAACCCAGACCGCCAGCUAAGGUCCCAAAGUCAUGGUUAAGUGGGAAACGAUGUGGGAAGGCCCAGACAGCCAGGAUGUUGGCUUAGAAGCAGCCAUCAUUUAAAGAAAGCGUAAUAGCUCACUGGUCGAGUCGGCCUGCGCGGAAGAUGUAACGGGGCUAAACCAU